rnacentral:rRNA from 1 species
UACGUAGGGUGCAAGCGUUGUCCGGAAUUAUUGGGCGUAAAGAGCUCGUAGGCGGUUUGUCGCGUCUGCUGUGAAAACCCGAGGCUUAACCUCGUGGCUUGCGGUGGAUACGGGCAGACUAGAGGUAGGUAGGGGAGAACGGAAUUCCCGGUGUAGCGGUGAAAUGCGCAGAUAUCGGGAGGAACACCGGUGGCGAAGGCGGUUCUCUGGGCCUUACCUGACGCUGAGGAGCGAAAGCAUGGGGAGCGAACAGG